rnacentral:rRNA from 1 species
CCUACGGGUGGCAGCAGUGGGGAAUAUUGCACAAUGGGGGAAACCCUGAUGCAGCGACGCCGCGUGAAGGAAGAAGUAUUUCGGUAUGUAAACUUCUAUCAGCAGGGAAGAAAAUUACGGUACCUGACUAAGAAGCCGCGGCUAACUACGUGCCAGCAGCGGCGGUAAUACGGAGGGGGCAAGCGUUAUCCGGAUGUACUGGGUGUAAAGGGAGCGUAGGCGGUUUAGCAAGUCAGAAGUGAAAGCCCGGGGCUCAACUCGGGGACUGCUUUUGAAAAUGUUGAACUAGAUUGCAGGAGAGGGAAGUGGAAUUCCUAGUGUAGCGGUGAAAUGCGUAGAUAUUAGGAGGAACCCCAGUGGCGAAGGCAGCUUACUAGACUGUAAAUGACGCUGAGGCUCGAAAGCGUGGGGAGCAAACAGGAUUAGAUACCCGAGUAGUC